rnacentral:rRNA from 1 species
CUACGGGGCGCACCAGUGAGGAAUAUUGCACAAUGGGGGAAACCCUGAUGCAGCAACGCCGCGUGGAGGAUGACGCAUUUCGGUGUGUAAACUCCUUUUAUCAGAGAAGAAAAUGACGGUAUCUGAUGAAUAAGCUCCGGCUAACUCCGUGCCAGCAGCCGCGGUAAUACGGAGGGAGCAAGCGUUAUUCGGAAUCACUGGGCGUAAAGGACGCGUAGGCGGGUUUUUAAGUCAGGUGUGAAAUCCUAUGGCUCAAUCAUAGAACUGCACUUGAAACUGGGGACCUAGAGUAUGGAAGGGGCAGGUGGAAUUAGUGGUGUAGGGGUAAAAUCCGUAGAUAUCACUAGGAAUACCGAAAGCGAAGGCGACCUGCUGGGACAUUACUGACGCUGAGGCGUGAAAGCGUGGGGAGCAAACAGGAUUAGAUACCCCUGUAGUC